rnacentral:lncRNA from 1 species
UCAGAAAAAAAUAGAUUAGAAAAAAGAAAUUAGAUAGAAAUGAGUUGAAAAAAAGAAUACUUUUUAAUUUAAGUAUGACCUGAUUCCAAUAUGUAUGAUGGAAUCAAAUGGAUUCCUACUUCAAACAUUGGAUCUCCUGUCUCAAUUAAGAGGGGUGAAAUGCCACUCGAACCCAGAGCUAGCUGGUUCCCCUCGAAAUGCGUUGAGGCGCAGCAGUUGACUGGACAUCUUGGGGUAAAAGUGAAAAGAGAGAGUGAGAGUUGUAGUAAGAGAGAGAAUUUGUCUUUUUUUAUAUUGCAGCUCGGCGCGUGGGAGAAUGCGCCAACUGUCACGUCAGUGAGUAGGCGACUGACACAAUCAUAGUUUUCUGGAGCGUAGUUGGUAGUUAGUCCAUAUUUGAGCGCAAGCAUGCGAGUGGCAGAUGAAACUUAUUGUGUACGCAACUUUCUGACCCUGAAACUCGGCUUAGGAAACUUCGCCAUGAUAAGCUUGACGACUGAACUAUUGCGUUAAGAUACUGACCGGACUUACUAUGAAGUGACAGUCUGGUGGCGACGCACGUUUAAGCACGACUAGAAGUGAAGCCAGAUAUUUUACCCUCGUGCAUUAAUGUUAUACAAAUUGUGGAGCAAUUGAAUGUGUGGGUAUGCAAUUUUUCUAUUUUUCAUAUAAGCAAAAUUAGCUUUUGAUAUUUAACCUUGAAAGAGGAAUUAGAAAUUAAAAAAAAAUUGAUUUUGACCCCUGACUCUGGGAUAAAAAAGAACAAGAAAAGGAAAGGGAAAAAAAAUAAUCUAAAUUAAAACUAGAUUGAUGUUAUUUUUAUUAUUGUAUACCAAAUUAAUGGUGAACUUUUAUCUAUAACAUGUUCUUGGCCCUCCAAAUCCAAAACCCUAAUUUCGUCCUUGUUUGGGUAACGAGCGAUGUUGAAUAACUUCAACAAAUUCGCACUUAAGGGCAUAGUACGCCUACUUGUUUGGGCAAAUUCUGUGGCUAAGCUUGAUCUUGUACAAGAACUAAGCAAGAAAUCUUAUUUAUAGUGGGCCAAAACAAGUGAAGGAAAAAAAAUAAUCAGUUAAUCUUUAUCAAGUUUUUAUUAAAUAUGCAUGUAAUUUAUCUUAUACAAUUUGAGUUACUGGUUUAUGUUUACGAAAAUAAAUAAUGUCUUCUAUAUAUUUUAGUAAUUAAAAUUUAAAAAUUGCAUUUGCGUAUCAAGUCAAUAAUAAUAUUAUUUUGUAUACGUGUAAAAUACUUGGGACCCAUUCCAUAUAUAUGAUUGAAAUACUCAUAAGAUAUAGGACGAGGGAAGGAAUUUUUGAAAGCCUUACAGGAGCUAAUUUUAUAUUUAUAAGAGAAAUGCAUAAAAUUAUAGACGUAUAAGAUGAAUUUUGAGAGCUUGGGGGCAAUAAUAUUCUACCAGGUUCUUAACCAAAGCUUCUACUUUGACAUUGAUUAUUUGCAAAUUACACGUGAAAAUCAUGCUUCAAUUCAAAAAAUUUUACAUUACAGUGCAAUUUCCAAGACAAUGCACACAAUGAAUAUAGAAUAUUCUAAUUGGAUUUGUCAACUGUUGGAAUGGUACCUGGAAGGCUGAAGCCUGGGAAUGCAGGGACGAAUGAAAAAUUUUGAGACGGAUAUAUAUACAAAACAUAAAAUUUAUAACAUAUGCGAAAAUAAAAUAUUAGUUUCAAUUUUAGAUUGAUAAAUUUACUGAUUUGAAUUUUUCAAUAAUUAAUACUACUUUAAAAUUAGAAUUUUUUGAAAAGUUUUGGAGGUCAUUUCCCUUAGUCCAUCCUUGAUUGGAAGCCUUGAACCUUGUAUGUUUUUUUAUGGCAAGCACUGACGGCUCCACGAAUUAGAAAUUUUGAUUGUUGCAGUACUUUAUAAAAGAAAUUUUAGUAUCUUGAUAUUAUAUUCAACCAAAAACUAUAUUUAUGCAUAAAAAUAAUACGAUUUUCAUUGACUAGUUUCGGACAUUGUUGAUGCUAUCAAAACAGCCUAUCUUUCAACUCUCGAUUUCUCAAUAGACACUAACUUAAUUCCUAUAUAUAAAUCAUCACCACAAAGUACUCUUGAAGUAUAAAUAAAAAUAAUCAGUAGGUCUAAAAUAAAAUAUUAGAAAUCGAGAGAAAUAUAUAUUUGAUAGAUUCAAACAAGGAACCAAUCAUAAGCAUUCAACUAGUCGGUUGUAUAAAACGGUAUAAAAAUCCCGUGAAAUAUAGCAUUUCUCUAUUAAAAGAAAUGCACAAAAAAUUACCUAGUAGGCAUUUCCCCCCCAAUUUUUUACCCUUUCUCAUCCAAACAAAAUGGAGAGAAAAAAAGCAAAUAAAUUGUGUCAUUUUGUUAACAACUGCAAACUGAUUAGUCUCUGUGCACCCCAAUUGCUCAGUACACCCCACAUAAUUUUAAGGAUUUUAAAGUUUUGUCAACCCAAAUUGUCCUCACUCUAGACCUUUCCAAGGCCUUAACUGUAACCCUAACCCUAACCCUAAAAUCCAACCAU